AAGAUUUUAAGUUAUUUAAACUAAAUACCUUCAAAGUAUUAAAAAACUUUUAGUUAAAUCUUA
rnacentral:tRNA from 1 species